UACGUAGGGUGCGAGCGUUAAUCGGAAUUACUGGGCGUAAAGCGCACGUAGGUGGCGACGUAAGUCGGGUGUGAAAGCCCCGGGCUCAACCUGGGAAUUGCAUUCGAGACUGCAUUGCUGGAGUACGGAAGAGGAAGGCGGAAUUCCCGGUGUAGCGGUGAAAUGCGUAGAGAUGUGGAGGAACACCGAUGGCGAAGGCAGCCCCCUGGGCUGAGAUUGACGCUCAGGCACGAAAGCGUGGGGAGCAAACAGG
rnacentral:rRNA from 1 species